UGGCGAGCGAGAUGAAAAGAUAAUCACAUCAGUUAUCCCUGUCUUAACAUCCAUGUCGAGACUUUAACCAGAUUCUGACUCGCCA
rnacentral:snoRNA from 1 species